UUCAUGUGCCCGUGUUCCAAAAUACUCUUACAAUUAUUAGAAAGACAUUUUAUUUUCUUAAAAUAGGCAUUAGAAAUAGGAAUUUUCUUAUUUGUCUUAGCUAGAACAAUCCCCAAUUUAUCCAAUGGUGUCACCAAACAGGUCUGCACUGGGUCCAUAAGACAUUCAUCAUUCAAUGGUAGAACAUUUUAUCUACAUUUGUCAUUAUAUUUCACAGGGAUCCAGGAGGUACUGAAAAAAGGGACAAUGCUGUUAAUGAGGCAUAUUCAAUAAUUCUUAUACUCGUGAAGAGUGUGGCAACUCCCAAGUAGUUAAUGAUGGCACUCAUUUUAAAUCAGAUCCUCGCUCCUAGGAUGUUUUCCAUGUUCUUGUGAAAAGUGUUUUACAUGGCACCAUUCAGCUACAAAUACUUUGCCGGUGGAACUGUGACAUCAAUCAACUGCUCAUGCCACUGCUAAUUGGCAGAAUUUCCUUUGGGACAAGCAAACUGUUUCAAAUAUUUUACACCUGCAAGUAGUGAUGAGUGUACUGGAAGUUUUUUCGGGAUCUUGUCUGACAUCAUAGGUACAACUGAUCACUGUGCUUUCUUGGUUAUAUAAGCAGGCUUAUUGUUAAA